CAGCCGCCGCGGUAAUACGAACCGUGCGAACGUUAUUCGGAAUCACUGGGCUUAAAGCGCGUGUAGGCGGAUGGGAGCGUCGGCCUCUGAAAUCCCCCGGCUCAACCGGGGAAGUGGAGCCGAAACGACCCGUCUGGAGGGACGUAGGGGGACCUGGAACUUCCGGUGGAGCGGUGAAAUGCGUUGAGAUCGGAAGGAACGCCCGUGGCGAAAGCGAGGUCCUGGACGUCUGCUGACGCUGAGACGCGAAAGCCAGGGGAGCGAACGGGAUUAGAUACCCCCGUAGUCCCUGUCUCUUAUA
rnacentral:rRNA from 1 species